ACUUGUGGGGGGAUUAGUGGCGAACGGGUGAGUAACACGUGAGUAACCUGCCCUUAACUCUGGGAUAAGCCUGGGAAACUGGGUCUAAUACCGGAUAUGACUCCUCAUCGCAUGGUGGGGGGUGGAAAGCUUUUUGUGGUUUUGGAUGGACUCGCGGCCUAUCAGCUUGUUGGUGAGGUAAUGGCUUACCAAGGCGACGACGGGUAGCCGGCCUGAGAGGGUGACCGGCCACACUGGGACUGAGACACGGCCCAGACUCCUACGGGAGGCAGCAGUGGGGAAUAUUGCACAAUGGGCGCAAGCCUGAUGCAGCGACGCCGCGUGAGGGAUGACGGCCUUCGGGUUGUAAACCUCUUUCAGUAGGGAAGAAGCGAAAGUGACGGUACCUGCAGAAGAAGCGCCGGCUAACUACGUGCCAGCAGCCGCGGUAAUACGUAGGGCGCAAGCGUUAUCCGGAAUUAUUGGGCGUAAAGAGCUCGUAGGCGGUUUGUCGCGUCUGCCGUGAAAGUCCGGGGCUCAACUCCGGAUCUGCGG
rnacentral:rRNA from 1 species